CCGAUGCAUGCGGGAGAGACCAGCCCAGGCUGGCGCCGAAGGAGCAACCGCCCCGGAAACUCUCAGGCAAAAAGGACCGCGCGCAGACA
rnacentral:ncRNA from 2 species